rnacentral:rRNA from 1 species
CUACGGGCCGCUGCAGUGAGGAAUAUUGCACAAUGGGGGGAACCCUGAUGCAGCAACGCCGCGUGGAGGAUGACGCAUUUCGGUGUGUAAACUCCUUUUAUAUGUCAAGAAAAUGACGGUAGCAUAUGAAUAAGCACCGGCUAACUCCGUGCCAGCAGCCGCGGUAAUACGGAGGGUGCAAGCGUUACUCGGAAUCACUGGGCGUAAAGGACGCGUAGGCGGGUUGGAAAGUCAGGUGUGAAAUCCUACAGCUUAACUGUAGAACUGCACUUGAAACUUCUAAUCUAGAGUAUGGGAGGGGGCAGAUGGAAUUAGUGGUGUAGGGGUAAAAUCCGUAGAUAUCACUAGGAAUACCUAAAGCGAAGGCGAUCUGCUGGAACAUUACUGACGCUAAGGCGUGAAAGCGUGGGGAGCAAACAGGAUUAGAUACCCUCGUAGUC